CAGCACAUAGACCAGUGAGUCUCCCCUCAUCCUGUCGGGCUCGCCUCACCUUGCACAGCCCUGAAAUUGAAGAAGACAUUUUCCAUCUAGUGGAAGACCUGAAACAUGCUUCUCUCCAGCCUUCUGAAGGUGGCCAUGGCUUCAUGCUGGCUAGGAUCCAGCAUUGCCCAGACGGUAACUCAAGAGCAACCACCAAUGCUAGUGCAGGAGAAGGAGGCUGUGACCCUGGACUGCACAUACGACAUCAGUGAUCCAACUUAUAGUUUAUCCUGGUACAAGCAGCCCAGCAGUGGGGCGAUGACUUUCCUAAUUCGUCAGGACUCUUACAACCAGCAAAAUGCCACAGAAGGUCGCUACUCAUUGAAUUUCCAGAAGGCAAGCAAAUCCAUCAAACUCGUCAUCUCAGCCUCACAGCUGGAGGACUCUGCAGUGUAUUUCUGUGCACUGAGUGAGACCACAGUGAGAGGACGAACCCAUGGAGACUCAGUGAUGCAGACAGAAGGCCCAGUGACCCUUUCAGAAACAGCUGCCCUGACUAUCAACUGCAGUUAUUCAACCACGACGUACCCCACUCUUUUCUGGUAUGUCCAAUACUCUGGAGAAGGUCCACAGCUCCUCCUGAAAGCCUCGAGGGACAAGGAGAAGGUACUCAAGAAAGGUUUUGAAGCCAUGCACCACAGAGAACAAACUUCCUUCCACUUGGAGAAAGCCUCAGUCCAAGGGGCAGACUCGGCCGUGUACUACUGUGCUCUGACUGACACAGUGACAGGAGCUGCAGGGGGAGCUGAGCACAAACUCUGAGAAGCAGCCAAACUCAGCUUGGAUGCAGAGUGUCUCUGACUGUUUGAUCCUCUCUGGUUCCAGCACAGUCUGUGGUGGUUUGUCCCUCAAUCUCCGGUUGACACAAAGAUCACACCACUGGCUAGAGCGUAAGAAGAGGAAGUAACCCUCCCCCUUUCCCAACUCGUCAUAAGUGAAAUUGGAUACUAGCUGACACCAGUGGGUCCUCAUCCAGGACCAAAGUAGUUUUAAAUGAAAGCCACAUAAACAGGGAGUGGUCCCUUGCUCAUCCUUGCAGUCCAAGUCCAACCUCCACAGCUUGCUCUGGGCCUCCCUGGAAGAGAAGGUGGCAUCUGCAUCAUGUAUUCUUGUCGGAAUGGGGGAGGAAUGGUGAUAGGAGUAAUACAGCGCCCCAAACCAGGUUCUUCAUUAAUGCAGAAGGGAAUAAAAGGAAGAAGAAGAAACAGAAUCUUAUAGAGAGGAAAGGGACUUUAAUUCCAGUUUCUUUCUUUGGCCAGUCAGAUGGUAGACACCAUCUUGUAUUCAACAUGAAGGACAAGGACCCAAAACAUAACUGAGGUGAUGAUUCCCAUCUACAUCAUGAACAGUGCCCCUUAUCUUAUUCCUAGCCAGUUAGUUAGCUCGAUGGCCUUGCUAACAAUAAGAACUCAAGUGAGAUAGUUUUCAGUGCUCAUGAAAUAUGGUGCAAAAAAUGGUCUUGAACAGAAUUUUUUUUCAUAACAAAAUAAAUGAGUGACCAUGGCUGAGGGAAAGCCUAUAGAUUUCUCUAAUGUCUGUUUUGCAACCUCUCACAGAGGGAGAAAACUCAUGGGACAGAGAAUGUAUGGAAGUAAGAGAAGACAUUGUGUUGAAAAGAAUAAUGUAAAAGUCAGUCUCUGCAUUGCACUGCAAAUAUACUGCUGGUCUUUGCAAAUACUGGUGCAAGCUUAUCUAAUCAUAUAUGUUUAUUGGCUUACUAAGAGUCCUUUUGUUGCUUGGAAGAAAGGUUUUGAGCAUAGGAAUGAAGGACAUGCAUGUUCUCUGAUUCUGCAAUGGCUAUGAUGAUGAGAAUGACUAAAAGAUUUAUUGGCUUUGAAAUGUCUGAUCCU